rnacentral:rRNA from 1 species
GAUGAACGCUGGCGGCGUGCCUAAUACAUGCAAGUCGAGCGAACAGACGAGGAGCUUGCUCCUCUGACGUUAGCGGCGGACGGGUGAGUAACACGUGGAUAACCUACCUAUAAGACUGGGAUAACUUCGGGAAACCGGAGCUAAGACCGGAUAAUAUAUUGAACCGCAUGGUUCAAUAGUGAAAUACGGUUUUGCUGUCACUUAUAGAUGGAUCCGCGCCGCAUGAGCUAGUUGGUAAGGUAACGGCUUACCAAGGCAACGAUGCGUAGCCGACAUGAGAGGGUGAUCGGCCACCCUGGAACUGAGACACGGUCCAGACUCCUACGGGAGGCAGCAGUAGGGAAUCUUCCGCAAUGGGCGAAAGCCUGACGGAGCAACGCCGCGUGAGUGAUGAAGGUCUUCGGAUCGUAAAACUCUGUUAUUAGGGAAGAACAAAUGUGUAAGUAACUAUGCACGUCUUGACGGUACCUAAUCAGAAAGCCACGGCUAACUACGUG